GCCCUCGUAGCUCAGCUGAAUAGAGCGCACCCCUCCUAAGGGUGAAGUCGCAGGUUUGAAUCCUGCCGAGGGCGCCA
rnacentral:tRNA from 1 species